rnacentral:rRNA from 1 species
CGCUGGCGGCGUGCCUAAUACAUGCAAGUCGAGCGGAAUGAUGAAGAAGCUUGCUUCUUCUGAUUUUAGCGGCGGACGGGUGAGUAACACGUGGGCAACCUACCUUGUAGAUUGGGAUAACUCCGGGAAACCGGGGCUAAUACCGAAUAAUCCAUUUUGCUUCAUGGCGAGAUGUUAAAAGGCGGCUUCGGCUGUCACUACGAGAUGGGCCCGCGGCGCAUUAGCUAGUUAGUAGGGUAAUGGCCUACCAAGGCGACGAUGCGUAGCCGACCUGAGAGGGUGAUCGGCCACACUGGGACUGAGACACGGCCCAGACUCCUACGGGAGGCAGCAGUAGGGAAUCUUCCACAAUGGACGAAAGUCUGAUGGAGCAACGCCGCGUGAGUGAAGAAGGUUUUCGGAUCGUAAAACUCUGUUGUAAGGGAAGAACACGUACGAGAGUAACUGCUCGUACCUUGACGGUACCUUAUUAGAAAGCCACGGCUAACUACGUG